rnacentral:lncRNA from 1 species
UACAAAACUAGUUUUGCUCUCUCCUUUUACAAGAUUUCUCAAGUGGAAUCAACUACUUUCUGAGAUAAUGAACCUUUCUGAUGGGGCUACAAAUAGACUUGCAAAUUCUCCAUCAAAGCCCAUUCCAGCAGCUUCCUGCAUUUCUCUAUUUUGUGUUUUCUUUACGUGUCCCUGCAUGGCCCGUGGAAUGUCCAAAUGUUUCAGUGGUUGUGAAAUUUAUUCAGAAGUGAAGGAAUCAUUUCCCUUACUCAGAGUCUAUUUGGCAGACAGCUUGAGCACAUUUGGAGAAUGAUGCCUUCAGGGUGACAAAUGGAGAGGCCCCAGAUAAUCAUCUGCUAUUUUGGCUCCUGAAAUUGCCAAUUAUAGGAUUGUAUCUACAGUCAAUUCUCAAUUUACCUACAUGUCGAUCAUUCACAGAAAAAUUUUAUUCCUUGACUUCCCCCUCCACCUAGCAGAUUUUGAGACAUGCUCCCCAAUUUCUCCUUUCUACUAACCAUUGUUCCCAUUUUUAAUGAGUGAAAUAGGCUCAGUUUGGUGAAUUUCUCCAGUAUUGCUCAGGCUCCUGGACUUAGGAAUAGAGAAAUCAAAUGGAAGGUCCUCUCCAGGGAAGAAGAUUAGGAGAUCAAAAUGGUAAGAGGUCAGGGGGUAAAGAGGGAAACAUUAAAGUAGCACAUCAUUGAGUUAGCGU